GUAGUAGUGGGUGUAGCGUACCUACUAGCCUACGACGGGUACGGGUUGUGAGAGCAAGAGCCCGGAGAUGGAUUCUGAGACACGAAUCCAGGCCCUACGGGGUGCAGCAGGCGCGAAAACUUUACAAUGCCGGCAACGGCGAUAAGGGGACCUCGAGUGCCAGGUUACAAAUCUGGCUGUCGUGAUGCCUAAAAAGCAUUGCAUAGCAAGGGCCGGGCAAGACCGGUGCCAGCCGCCGCGGUAACACCGGCGGCUCGAGUGGUAACCGUUAUUAUUGGGUCUAAAGGGUCUGUAGCCGGCCGGAUAAGUCUCUUGAGAAAUCCAGCAGCUCAACUGUUGGGCUUUCAGGAGAUACUGUUCGGCUCGAGGCCGGGAGAGGUGAGAGGUACUUCAGGGGUAGGGGUGAAAUCUUGUAAUCCUUGAAGGACCGCCAGUGGCGAAGGCGUCUCACCAGAACGGACCUGACGGCAAGGGACGAAAGCUAGGGGCACGAACCGGAUUAGAUACCCGGGUAGUCCUAGCCGUAAACGAUACUCGCUAGGUGUCGGCCACGGUGCGACCGUUGUCGGUGCCGUAGGGAAGCCGUGAAGCGAGC
rnacentral:rRNA from 1 species